CACAGAAAGGUUGAGGUGGGAAGGGACCUCUGGGGGACAUCUGGUCCAGGCCCCUGCUCAAGCAGGGCCACCCAGAGCUGCUGGCGCAGAACCACAUCCAGGUGGCUUCUGAAGAUUUGCAGAGCUCUCUCCAGUAAGUCGAGGUCCCUCUUGUACUGGGGAGCCCAGGACUGGACCCAGCACUCCAGGUGUGGCCUCACCAGUGCUGAGCAGAGGGGAAGGAGCAGCUCCCUCCUCUGUUGGCAGCACUUCCAAUGCAGCCCAAGAGACUGCUGGCUUUCUUUGGAGCAAAGAUGCACUGCUGGGCCAUGUUCAAUUUGGUGUCCACCAGGAUCUCCAGGUUCUUCUCUGCAGAACCAUUUUCCAGACAGUUGGGCCCCAGCACUACAGGACCAUGCAUUUCCACGUGCUAAACGUCAUGAGAGCCCAACUCUCCAGCCUGGCCAGGUCCAUUUGGAUGGCAGCCAGGUCCCAUCUGGUGUACCAGCUGCUCCUCCCGGUUUUGUGUUACCUGCACGUUCACUGUGGAUACACCCUGUGCUGUCAUUCAAGUGGCACGAGGGAGAUGUUGAGGGGCGUUGGCCCCAGUACUACUCCCUGGGGCACACCACUUGCCCCCAGGUGGACUUUGUGCCACUGAUCGCAACCUUCUGGACCUCUCAGAUGGUUUUCAGCCCACCACACCAUCCAUUCCUCUAACCCGUGCUAUGCCAGCUUGCCUAUGGGGACGUCAGGGGAGACAGAGCCAAAAUCCACACCAAAAGCAAGGUGAGACAACACCCACUGCUCCCCACUCACUGCCCAGCAACCUCGCUGCAGAAGGCAUUGGGUUUGGGUAAGCACGUUUUCCCCUCCGUGUUUCUCCUUGUGCUGAAAUAGCAGCAGAGCACCAGGACAUGAUAUUUUAAGAAAACAAUGAGAUUAAGAGACAGACACUAAGUGUUCGCAGCGCUUCUGACAGAGAUAAACUGCAGUAUCGGUUUCUAUCAGAUUGAGAGCACGCGGCCUGCACUUCAGGGGGGAGGCUUAAUGAUUUAACAGGGCUUUCCCAUCUCUCGCUAGCAAGCUCCAACAGCACAGAUAGGCGAGCACCAAGCGGAGACAAUUGCAGCUGUAAAUAAAUAAUGAACCCGCUGCACGCAGAAGCCCUCAUCCAGGAACCAAAUCCUGAAGAUGCUGCUCGGGCAUCUUUCACACAAGACACAGGCCAGGUUUCCCCGUGCCCAAUUAUGUUCCACAUCUCCCGGAGGAGGGAUAUUGUUGGUCUCUCUGCUUCCUUUCUACCACCCCUGGGGCUACAGCAUGCAUUUAAUUUAUUAUUAUUAUUUUUUUUAGGUUGUUUCACCAGCUUUUAACGUUCAUGGGAGGGUACAGGGAUCACACACAUGGUAGGAGGGGGCCAAAGAGGAAGGGUUUGGCUUCUGCAUCAUUUCUUUCUUCUUUUUAUUGCCUGCCUCCUUCCACACCUUUCCCACAGUUUCUGUUUCCCAGCUAAGCUACUUUAUGUGACCCUGCUAAGCAAGGACAUCCCGCAGUAUGUCUCUGCGUUGUCACUGCUCUGUCGCCUCCGCUCUUACCUUUGAUUAGGUAGAAACCUCUAAUCUUUGAUGAGAUGGAAAAGGAAGAAAGGCCUGAAACUCCCACGUUCCCUGUCUGCUGGGGAAUAGGGACUUCGAACUCCUGCAUCCUCGCUGACCUCAUCACAGAGGAGGGAUUCUCCUGCAAGCUUCAUCCUCACUGCAUAAUAUUGAGUCUUCAGCCGCCGAGGGCCAGCAUUUAAUCUUUUAAACAUGACAACCUAUGUGGCUCCAACAAGUCCUACCAAGACUUCUCUGCAAGGAAAAAUGAAGCUUACGUGGUACCAACUGCUCUAUUUCCUCUUAACUCCAGGUCAUCGGCAGGUAUUAACUAUGACAGCUAUUAGCUGUGACAGGUAUUAACCAUGACAGCUAAUAAACACACAGUUUAUCCUGAUACAAUUAAAGAAUAGAAAAGGGGAAGAACGUGACUAAAAAGAUCAAAUAUACAGAUCAACAAAGACAAAAAGUCCUGAAAAUGCCACAAAAUCUACCAGCCUUCCUUAUUGCUGCCACUGGGAAAAAAAAAAAGGUAUUUUUAAAUACAAUGAUAGAGGGCAGCAAAUCGACCAAAGAAGGAAAGAAAGGUGUGCUUUCAACGACACCCCCGAGAAAUCCUCCUCCUUGCAGCUGUCUAUGUGACCAUUCACCUUCCUGAUUCUUUCUGAACACCCUGCUUAGACCACCGUACCAAUGACAAACUCGAUUGAGUUGCUUCCCUAAAAUGAGGAUGUCUACACUGACGUGCACCCCAGGGAGAUCUGCUCCCAAAUCCGACAUGAGAGGCUCUGGCAUCCGCAAGUUUUCCGUGACUUGUGGGUGCUCAGCAUCUCCUGGGCAGGGUUUGUCCUCAAAUGGCAGAAAGGAGGAAAAAAAAAUCUCAAAAUACAAAGUGAAACGUGCUUCUGAUGCAAAAUUAGCAUUUGGCAGAGAAGUGACUCACAGUGACUGAGGGCUUCGUGCAUCCCUUCUCUGAAGCAUCCAGGAUCUUUUUCUGGCUCGUGAAUCACCCGAAAAUGGCAGCUGAGCGUGUCUUGUCCUAAGUAAAGCUGAGAGUGUUGAGAAGAUGAAGGGCUCUGCUCUGCUCUCUGAAAUGGCACCGCUGGCAAUGUUUGUGAUGCCAGGACGAGGGGAAACAGCAUCACCAUGGGUUAAAACAUGGGAAGUUUGAUUUGCAGCGAAUUCUUGGGCUUCAGAGACUGCGAGCUGACGGUGGAUAUAGCUGUACAGAGUGCGGGGUCCUGCGUGGGAGGGACCAGAUAUUUAAAAACAUGCGUGCAAAUAGGGAUCCUUUUUGUGGCUGAAAACAUUCCCCUCUGUCGGCAGAGGAUUCCCUUUGGGUAGUUGCUCACCACAAAAUAGUGCCUUCCCAGGCACCCUUCUACUAAUCUCCCCAGCCAAUAUUUCCCGCACCUUCCUAGUGCAAUUGCAUCACCACACUGUUGUCAUGGUUUAACCCAAGCUCAUCCUAACGUAGCUCAUGUUUUGGAAGAAAUGUAGGCACAGCAGCAAAGAAGUAUGCAGGGUAAAUACCAGAGGUCCUCAGACUUGUAAGGAAAGAGAGAAUCACUUCCCACCUGGAAGGAAAGCUGUAGGACCUUGCUGAUGGAGACUCAAGGAGGAGCCCACAAAGGCUUUCUGCAAGGACGAUGUGCAGUAGGAUCACCUGCCUGCCCCAAAGUACCUGCAGAACAUUUCUGCUGAGUGGUAGAAGAGCGAUUUGAGAGCAACAUCGGGCCGGUUGCACAAAGCCGCCCGCAGAAAGCUGCCUUAGCAGGACUGCCACAUCGAGCUCUUCAGCUCAGCACAGCAACAAAGACAGGCAAGGGGGGGG